CUAACCCUAACUUACACCCUAAUCUCUCGAGCUCCAUUCACUCUCCACACAAGUCAAGAGCUUCUUUCUCUCUCCGUCCACGCUCUCUGACCGUCCACGAGCUUCUUUCACCGCUGCCGCCGCCGCUUGCAUCGCACAAUCUCAUCACUGACCUCAGCAAUGGCCAUUCGCUGGUUAUCCUCAUCCACCGGUUCAGGAAUAACUGCACUCAUCCUUCAGGGAAGAUCCCUGCCUCUGGUGUUUGCGGAGGUAGUCGUGUCGUCGUCGUUCUCACCGCUCUGGGCCCAUCCGCCUCCUUCAUGCACGGUGUCAUCUCCCUCCAACUUUGCGAUGGCACCGCUGGUUGUCGCCCAGCCAACCACAGCCUUUGUAAAACGAGUAAGGUGGCUUUGGUGGUGGGCGAUUCAACCCCUCCGCUGUUACUCCGCCGCCCUGGAUGGCAACUUCCUCCUGAGCUCGGCCCGAGCUGUUUCCUCCAAAUGCACCAAAUGUAGAUCUAGCCAAAUCUGUGGCUUCUUCUCCGUUUUCUGCAUAAAUAGACAAAGAUGAAUGCUGAAUUAUUGCUCGAUCUGCCAGCUCUGUUGAUUUUGUUUGUUGUUGAGGUUAAAAUGUAAAAUUGUAAUAUGAUGAGUCUCAUUCUUCUCCUUUGAUGUGAACUUCUUCUCUUUGCUGAAUUGUUGCUGAGUAGUGAAAAUUCUGCAUUUGAUUUGGCUUGAAUCUGGAAAAUUGGAGGCUCUUGGAGUCAUUGAUGAUCGUUGAUUUGGCUGUGGUUACUGUUCUAAGGUCGUAUAAUGAGACUGCAUUUUUGGUUUGGGAAGGAUAUAAAUUUCAGUACCAAGAUGAACUUGCCAAAUUGGUGGUGUCUCUAGAAUGUUUCUUUAGGUUCGAUGUGCUGGCUCAGACUUCAAGAGAUACCAAAGAGACCUUGCUCAAAGUCACAAGGAUACUUAGUGUUGUUAGGAAGCUGCCCUUAGCUAGAACUGAAAGCGCAACCGGUUCGGCUUCUGACUUGGAUUCUAUGCCUUUGGAAUCAGAUGUGUGUGGCACUCUACCACUGCAGCUGAAUGAUGAAAAGGAGAGGGAACUUGAUUCUACUGAGGAAUCCGCCGAAUUAGAGUGCCUUGCUAAGCCAAUCUUGGAAGAUAUUGCCAGCCUUGUGCAGAAGGGUAGCCAAGCAGAGGCAGAAAUACAUAAAGGGCAUUAAGACUUGCAAAGCAAGCAUGAAGGAAGUGGGAGACUGAGAAGCAGCAUUGAGUUUUUUGGCAGUAGAAUGGACUUUACAGUUAGUGAUUCCAUUGUAUUCAAUGAAAAUAAUUUGAUUGCUGAAGAUAUCUCUAAACUAGAAGAUGCGUUUAAGCAGCUAUUGUCAUUUUUCAGGGUCCACCACUGGCUGGAAGGUAUGACAUGGGAGCUCUAUGCAUGCAUGAGCAUUCUGAAAAACUUGAAGGCCUUGUCAAUGAUGCUAUAGAUAAACGUGCUAAAAUUGUUGCAAGAGGAAGUUUCGGGCCUAUUGGUGGAGAUGCAGUUGAUCAGUAUUACCCCCCAACUGUGAUUGUUAAUGUGAAUCACUCCAUGAGAUUGAUGCAAGAAGAGACAUUUGGACCAAUCGUGCCAAUAAUGAAAUUCAGCUCUGAUGAAGAGGUUGUCAAGCUUGCAAAUGACUCAAGAUAUGGGCUUGGCUGUGCUGUUUUCUCAGGCAAUUAGAGCCAUGCCAGAGAGAUAGCUUCGCAGAUACAUUAUGCCUUUGCUGCUGUUAAUGAUUUUGUAGCAACACAUAUGUAUCAGUCCCUCCCAUUUGGGGGUGUCAAACACAGUGGAUUUGGACGAUUUGGUGGUGCAGAAGGUUUGCGAGCAUGCUGCCUUGUAAAAGCUGUUGUUGAAGAUAGAUGGUGGCCAUACAAGAUACCUAAGCCUAUUCAGUAUCCUGUAGCAGAAAAUACCUUCGAAUUUCAGGAGUCACUAGUUGAAGCAUUAUAUGGUCUCAGCAUAUGGGAUGGGACCGUUUGAAAGCAUUGAAUUGAUUGAUGAGAAAAUCAAAGGAUACAAAGCAGCCAAAGCUCACACGCAAAACACCAUCUGCACCCAAACAAUCUUUUCCAAGAAGUUGGAAAAGUUGGAUCGGGCAAUUGGAAAGGUCAAGAAGAAAAAGUUGAAACAGAAGAGAUAGAAUGAGGCUUAUGAGAAGGUUAGAGUGUCAAGUAGUUCUAGUGCAGUUCUACUACCACCGCCACCGCCGCCACCCUCAAUGUCUUCGGAUGAGGACUAUGAUGAUGAUGAGGAUGAAGAUGACACUGAAGACUAUAGCUGAUAGUUUUAGUAUGGUUGAACAAUAUACAAGGAAUUAUAGUUGAUGAUCAAUACACUUUGUUUAUGUUUUGAAUUAUAUUGACUUGCUUGUUUAUAGUACCUUUCUUUUAGUUUGAUAAUACGAUGAAUUUGUCUAUUUUUUGAAAUAUUAUAAAUAUUCGAAUACAAAUUAGAUAAAAAUUUAUAUUAAAUUUAUAUUUA